rnacentral:rRNA from 1 species
AGAUCCAUACUGGCAGUUCGAACGAGAGACCUUCGGGUCUCAGUGGGCGAACGGGUGAGUAACACGUAGGGAACCUGCCCGCGCACCGGGAAUACGCUCUGGAAACGGAGAACAAAUCCCGAUGUACAGGAAGGAGGCAUCUUCUUUCUGUGAAACAUCCUUUAGGGGAUGGGGCGCGGAUGGACCUGCGGUGCAUUAGUUGGUUGGCGGGGUAAAGGCCCACCAAGACGAUGAUGCAUAGCCGGCCUGAGAGGGUGGACGGCCACAUUGGGACUGAGACACGGCCCAGACUCCUGCGGGAGGCAGCAGUAGGGAAUUUUCGUCAAUGGGCGCAAGCCUGAACGAGCGAUGCCGCGUGAGUGAAGAAGGCCUUCGGGUCGUAAAGCUCUGUUGCGGGGGAAAAAAGGCAGCAUCAGGAAAUGGGUGCUGACUGAUGGUGCCCCGCCAGAAAGUCACGGCUAACUACGUGCCAGCAGCCGCGGUAAUACGUAGGUGGCGAGCGUUAUCCGGAAUGAUUGGGCGUAAAGGGUGCGCAGGCGGUCCUGCAAGUCUGGAGUGAAACGCAUGAGCUCAGCUCAUGCAUGGCUUUGGAAACUGGAGGACUGGAGAGCAGGAGAGGGCGGUGGAACUCCAUGUGUAGCGGUAAAAUGCGUAGAUAUAUGGAAGAACACCAGUGGCGAAGGCGGCCGCCUGGCCUGUUGCUGAAGCUGAGGGCACGAAGCGUGGGGAGCAAAUAGGAUUAGAUACCCU